GGGCCGCACGCGCGCUACACUGACUGAGCCAGCGAGUCUUGNNNNNCCUUGGCCGAGAGGUCNCGGGUAAUCUUGUGAAACUCAGUCGUGCUGGGGAUAGAGCAUUGUAAUUUUUGCUCUUCAACGAGGAAUUCCUAGUAAGCGCAAGUCAUCAGCUUGCGUUGAUUACGUCCC
rnacentral:rRNA from 1 species